rnacentral:rRNA from 1 species
AUUUAACUCUGGCGGCAUGCCUUACACAUGCAAGUCGAACGGUAACAGGUCUUCGGAUGCUGACGAGUGGCGAACGGGUGAGUAAUACAUCGGAACGUGCCCGAUCGUGGGGGAUAACGCAGCGAAAGCUGUGCUAAUACCGCAUACGAUCUACGGAUGAAAGCGGGGGAUCGCAAGACCUCGCGCGGACGGAGCGGCCGAUGGCAGAUUAGGUAGUUGGUGGGAUAAAAGCUUACCAAGCCGACGAUCUGUAGCUGGUCUGAGAGGACGACCAGCCACACUGGGACUGAGACACGGCCCAGACUCCUACGGGAGGCAGCAGUGGGGAAUUUUGGACAAUGGGCGCAAGCCUGAUCCAGCCAUGCCGCGUGCAGGAUGAAGGCCUUCGGGUUGUAAACUGCUUUUGUACGGAACGAAAAAGCUCUCUCUAAUACAGGGGGUGAAUGACGGUACCGUAAGAAUAAGCACCGGCUAACUACGUG